rnacentral:rRNA from 1 species
UACGUAGGGUGCAAGCGUUAAUCGGAAUUACUGGGCGUAAAGCGUGCGCAGGCGGUUUGGUAAGACAGAUGUGAAAUCCCCGGGCUUAACCUGGGAACUGCAUUGGUGACUGGCGGUCUUGAGCCAGCUAGGGGCUACCGGAACAAAUGGUGGAGCGGUGAAAUGCGUAGAUAUCAUUUGGAACGCCAAUGGUGAAAAACAGGUAGCUGGGGCUGUGCUGACACUGAGACACGAAAGCCAGGGGAGCAAACGGG